rnacentral:rRNA from 1 species
GUUGCCCAGACAACUAGGAUGUUGGCUUAGAAGCAGCCAUCAUUUAAAGAAAGCGUAAUAGCUCACUGGUCGAGUCGGUCCGCGCGGAAGAUGUAACGGGGCUCAAACUAGGAGCCGAAGCUGCGGAUUUGAAUUUGUUUUCAAGUGGUAGGGGAGCGUUGUGUAAGCCUGUGAAGGUGUGUUGUAAAGCAUGCUGGAGGUAUCACAAGAGCGAAUGCUGACGUGAGUAAC